GAUGAAGAACGCAGCGAAAUGCGAUACGUAAUGUGAAUUGCAGAAUUCAGUGAAUCAUCGAAUCUUUGAACGCAUAUUGCGCUCUCUGGUAUUCCGGAGAGCAUGCUUGUUUGAGUAUCAGUAAACACCUCAACUUCCAUAUCUUUUUUGAAAUGGGAGUUGGACUUGAGUGAUCCCAACGCUUUUCCUCACCGAAAAGUGGCGGGUUACUUGAAAUGCAGGUGCAGCUGGACUUUUCUCUGAGCUAUAAGCGUAUCUAUUUAGUCUGCCUAAAAAACAGAUUAUUACCUUUGCUGCAGCUAACAUAAAGGAGAUUAGUUCUUGUGCUGACUGAUGCAGGAUUCACAAAGACAGGCUUCGGCCGACUUUGUAAACUCGAUCUCAAAUCAAGUAAGACUACCCGCUGAACUUAAGCAUAUCAAUAAGCGGAGGA
rnacentral:misc_RNA from 1 species